rnacentral:rRNA from 1 species
AUGGUGGAAUUUGCCGGCGGUGUGAAAGGAAUCGCCUUAAAUCUUGAGAAUGAGAAUGUAGGUAUUGUUGUCUUUGGUAGUGAUACCACUAUUAAAGAAGGAGAUCUUGUCAAGCGCACUGGAUCUAUUGUGGAUGUUCCUGCGGGAAAGGCCAUGUUAGGCCGUGUGGUCGACGCCUUGGGAGUACCUAUUGAUGGAAAAGGGGCUCUAAGCGAUCACGAACGAAGACGUGUCGAAGUGAAAGCCCCAGGGAUUAUUGAGCGUAAAUCUGUGCACGAACCCAUGCAAACAGAGUGA